rnacentral:rRNA from 1 species
ACGAACGAGGAUAUAUCCUUCGGGAUAUAAGCCGAGUGGCGGAAGGGUGAGUAAUGCAUAGACAACCUGCCUUUAGGAUAAGAACAACUCUGUGAAAGCGGGGCUAAUACUUGAUAAUACAAAGAAAAGGAUCUUUUUUUUGUCAAAAAAGGGUAUUUAUACCUUUUACCUAGAGAGGGGUUUAUGUCCUAUCAGCUUGUUGGUGGGGUAACGGCCUACCAAGGCGAAGACGGGUAACCGGCCUUAGAGGGUAGUCGGUCACACUGGAACUGAGACACUGUCCAGACUUUUACGGAAGGCUGCAGUCGAGAAUCUUUCGCAAUGCCCGAAAGGGUGACGAAGCGACGCCGCGUGGAUGAAGAAGGCCUUCGGGUUGUAAAAUCCUGUCAGGGGUUAAGAAAUGUAGGUGCGAUAAUACCGUGCUUAUUUGACAAAGGCUCCAAAGGAAGCCCCGGCUAACUCUGUGCCAGCAGCCGCGGUAAUACAGAGGUGGCAAGCGUUGUUCGGAAUUAUUGGGCGUAAAGAGCACGUAGGUGGAUUUGUUAGUCAGAUGUGAAAGCCUUUCGUUCAACGGAAGAAUUGCAUCUGAAACUACAAACCUUGAGUAUAGGGGGGGGGAGUGGAACUUUUGGUGGGGCGGUGAAAUGCGUAGAUAUCAGAAGGAACGCCGGCGGCGAAAGCGACUCUCUGGCCUAUAACUGACACUGAGUGUGCGAAAGCUAGGGGGGCAAACGGGAUUAGAUACCCCGGUAGUCCUAGCCGUAAACGAUUU